rnacentral:rRNA from 1 species
GACGAACGCUGGCGGCGUGCUUAACACAUGCAAGUCGAACGGAGGAUUUAUUUCGGUAAAUCCUUAGUGGCGAACGGGUGAGUAACGCGUGGGCAACCUGCCCUUCAGAUGGGGACAACAUCCCGAAAGGGGUGCUAAUACCGAAUACGAUCACGCUGCCGCAUGGCGGUGUGAUGAAAGAUGGCCUCUAUUUAUAAGCUAUCGCUGAAGGAUGGGCCUGCGUCUGAUUAGUUAGUUGGUGGGGUAACGGCCUACCAAGGCGAUGAUCAGUAGCCGGUCUGGGAGGAUGAACGGCCACAUUGGGACUGAGACACGGGCCAAACUCCUACGGGAGGCAGGAGUGGGGAAUAUUCCGCAAUGGACGAAAGUCUGACGGAGCAACGCCGCGUGAGUGAUGAAGGUUUUCGGACUGUAAAACUCUGUUGUUUAGGACGAAAGUGCCUGUUGCAAACAGUUGCAGGUAUUGACGGUACUGAACGAGGAAGCCACGGCUAACUACGUGCCAGCAGCCGCGGUAAAAC